rnacentral:rRNA from 1 species
GAUAAGGUCCGUGUUCGAAAGGGAAACAGCCCAGACCACCAGCUAAGGUCCCAAAAUAUAUGUUAAGUGGAAAAGGAUGUGGCGUUGCCCAGACAACUAGGAUGUUGGCUUAGAAGCAGCCAUCAUUUAAAGAGUGCGUAAUAGCUCACUAGUCGAGUGACACUGCGCCGAAAAUGUACCGGGGCUAAACAUAUUACCGAAGCUGUGGAUUGUCCUUUGGACAAUGGUAGGAGAGCGUUCUAAGGGCGUUGAAGCAUGAUCGUAAGGACAUGUGGAGCGCUUAGAAGUGAGAAUGCCGGUGUGAGUAGCGAAAGACGGGUGAGAAUCCCGUCCACCGAUUGACUAAGGUUUCCAGAGGAAGGCUCGUCCGCUCUGGGUUAGUCGGGUCCUAAGCUGAGGCCGACAGGCGUAGGCGAUGGAUAACAGGUUGAUAUUCCUGUACCACCUAUAAUCGUUUUAAUCGAUGGGGGGACGCAGUAGGAUAGGCGAAGCGUGCGAUUGGAUUGCACGUCUAAGCAGUAAGGCUGAGUAUUAGGCAAAUCCGGUACUCGUUAAGGCUGAGCUGUGAUGGGGAGAAGACAUUGUGUCUUCGAGUCGUUGAUUUCACACUGCCGAGAAAAGCCUCUAGAUAGAAAAUAGGUGCCCGUACCGCAAACCGACACAGGUAGUCAAGAUGAGAAUUCUAAGGUGAGCGAGCGAACUCUCGUUAAGGAACUCGGCAAAAUGACCCCGUAACUUCGGGAGAAGGGGUGCUCUUUAGGGUUAACGCCCAGAAGAGCCGCAGUGAAUAGGCCCAAGCGACUGUUUAUCAAAAACACAGGUCUCUGCUAAACCGUAAGGUGAUGUAUAGGGGCUGACGCCUGCCCGGUGCUGGAAGGUUAAGAGGAGUGGUUAGCUUCUGCGAAGCUACGAAUCGAAGCCCCAGUAAACGGCGGCCGUAACUAUAACGGUCCUAAGGUAGCGAAAUUCCUUGUCGGGUAAGUUCCGACCCGCACGAAAGGCGUAACGAUUUGGGCACUGUCUCAACGAGAGACUCGGUGAAAUCAUAGUACCUGUGAAGAUGCAGGUUACCCGCGACAGGACGGAAAGACCCCGUGGAGCUUUACUGUAGCCUGAUAUUGAAAUUCGGCACAGCUUGUACAGGAUAGGUAGGAGCCUUUGAAACGUGAGCGCUAGCUUACGUGGAGGCGCUGGUGGGAUACUACCCUAGCUGUGUUGGCUUUCUAACCCGCACCACUUAUCGUGGUGGGAGACAGUGUCA